AGAGUUUGAUCAUGGCUCAGAUUGAACGCUGGCGGCAGGCCUAACACAUGCAAGUCGAGCGGUAGCACAGAGAGCUUGCUCUCGGGUGACGAGCGGCGGACGGGUGAGUAAUGUCUGGGAAACUGCCUGAUGGAGGGGGAUAACUACUGGAAACGGUAGCUAAUACCGCAUAACGUCGCAAGACCAAAGUGGGGGACCUUCGGGCCUCAUGCCAUCAGAUGUGCCCAGAUGGGAUUAGCUAGUAGGUGGGGUAACGGCUCACCUAGGCGACGAUCCCUAGCUGGUCUGAGAGGAUGACCAGCCACACUGGAACUGAGACACGGUCCAGACUCCUACGGGAGGCAGCAGUGGGGAAUAUUGCACAAUGGGCGCAAGCCUGAUGCAGCCAUGCCGCGUGUGUGAAGAAGGCCUUCGGGUUGUAAAGCACUUUCAGCGGGGAGGAAGGCGGUGAGGUUAAUAACCUCACCGAUUGACGUUACCCGCAGAAGAAGCACCGGCUAACUCCGUGCCAGCAGCCGCGGUAAUACGGAGGGUGCAAGCGUUAAUCGGAAUUACUGGGCGUAAAGCGCACGCAGGCGGUCUGUCAAGUCGGAUGUGAAAUCCCCGGGCUCAACCUGGGAACUGCAUUCGAAACUGGCAGGCUAGAGUCUUGUAGAGGGGGGUAGAAUUCCAGGUGUAGCGGUGAAAUGCGUAGAGAUCUGGAGGAAUACCGGUGGCGAAGGCGGCCCCCUGGACAAAGACUGACGCUCAGGUGCGAAAGCGUGGGGAGCAAACAGGAUUAGAUACCCUGGUAGUCCACGCCGUAAACGAUGUCGAUUUGGAGGUUGUGCCCUUGAGGCGUGGCUUCCGGAGCUAACGCGUUAAAUCGACCGCCUGGGGAGUACGGCCGCAAGGUUAAAACUCAAAUGAAUUGACGGGGGCCCGCACAAGCGGUGGAGCAUGUGGUUUAAUUCGAUGCAACGCGAAGAACCUUACCUGGUCUUGACAUCCACAGAACUUUCCAGAGAUGGAUUGGUGCCUUCGGGAACUGUGAGACAGGUGCUGCAUGGCUGUCGUCAGCUCGUGUUGUGAAAUGUUGGGUUAAGUCCCGCAACGAGCGCAACCCUUAUCCUUUGUUGCCAGCGGUUCGGCCGGGAACUCAAAGGAGACUGCCAGUGAUAAACUGGAGGAAGGUGGGGAUGACGUCAAGUCAUCAUGGCCCUUACGACCAGGGCUACACACGUGCUACAAUGGCAUAUACAAAGAGAAGCGACCUCGCGAGAGCAAGCGGACCUCAUAAAGUAUGUCGUAGUCCGGAUUGGAGUCUGCAACUCGACUCCAUGAAGUCGGAAUCGCUAGUAAUCGUAGAUCAGAAUGCUACGGUGAAUACGUUCCCGGGCCUUGUACACACCGCCCGUCACACCAUGGGAGUGGGUUGCAAAAGAAGUAGGUAGCUUAACCUUCGGGAGGGCGCUUACCACUUUGUGAUUCAUGACUGGGGUGAAGUCGUAACAAGGUAACCGUAGGGGAACCUGCGGUUG
rnacentral:rRNA from 2 species